AGUGGCGGACGGGUGAGUAACGCGUGAGAAUCUGCCUUGGGGUCGGGGACAACCACUGGAAACGGUGGCUAAUACCGGAUAAGCCGAUUGGUGAAAGAUUUAUUGCCCGAAGAGGAGCUCGCGUCUGAUUAGCUAGUUGGUGAGGUAAGAGCUCACCAAGGCAGCGAUCAGUAGCUGGUCUGAGAGGACGAUCAGCCACACUGGGACUGAGACACGGCCCAGACUCCUACGGGAGGCAGCAGUGGGGAAUUUUCCGCAAUGGGCGAAAGCCUGACGGAGCAAGACCGCGUGAGGGAGGAAGGCUCUUGGGUUGUAAACCUCUUUUCUCAGGGAAGAAGCUCUGACGGUACCUGAGGAAUCAGCCUCGGCUAACUCCGUGCCAGCAGCCGCGGUAAUACGGAGGAGGCAAGCGUUAUCCGGAAUUAUUGGGCGUAAAGCGUCCGCAGGUGGCAAUUCAAGUCUGCUGUCAAAGCACGGGGCUUAACUCCGUUAAGGCAGUGGAAACUGAAUAGCUAGAGUGCCGUAGGGGUAGAGGGAAUUCCCGGUGUAGCGGUGAAAUGCGUAGAGAUCGGGAAGAACAUCGGUGGCGAAAGCGCUCUACUGGACGGCAACUGACACUCAGGGACGAAAGCUAGGGGAGCGAAUGGGAUUAGAUACCCC
rnacentral:rRNA from 1 species